GAUGAAGAACGUAGCGAAAUGCGAUAAGUAGUGUGAAUUGCAGAAUUCAGUGAAUCAUCGAAUCUUUGAACGCACAUUGCGCCCUUUGGUAUUCCAAAGGGCAUGCCUGUUCGAGCGUCAUUUGUACCCUCAAGCUUUGCUUGGUGUUGGGCGUCUUGUCUCUAGCUUUGCUGGAGACUCGCCUUAAAGUAAUUGGCAGCCGGCCUACUGGUUUCGGAGCGCAGCACAAGUCGCACUCUCUAUCAGCAAAGGUCUAGCAUCCAUUAAGCCUUUUUUCCAACUUUUGACCUCGGAUCAGGUAGGGAUACCCGCUGAACUUAAGCAUAUCAAUAAGCGGAGGA
rnacentral:misc_RNA from 1 species